UACAGAGGGUGCAAACGUUGUUCGGAAUUACUGGGCGUAAAGCGUGCGCAGGCGGUUUUGCAAGACAGAUGUGAAAUCCCCGGGCUUAACCUGGGAACUGCAUUUGUGACUGCAUGGCUGGAGUGCGGCAGAGGGGGAUGGAAUUCCGCGUGUAGCAGUGAAAUGCGUAGAUAUGCGGAGGAACACCGAUGGCGAAGGCAGUCCCCUGGGCCUGCACUGACGCUCAUGCACGAAAGCGUGGGGAGCAAACAGG
rnacentral:rRNA from 1 species